CCUACGGGUGGCAGCAGUGAGGAAUAUUGGUCAAUGGCCGGAAGGCUGAACCAGCCAAGCCGCGUGAGGGAGGCAGGCGCAGAGCGUCGCAGACCUCUUUUGCCGGGGGACAAAAGGCCGGACGGGUCCGGUUCUGAGGGUACCCGGAGAAAAAGCAUCGGCUAACUCCGUGCCAGCAGCCGCGGUAAUACGGAGGAUGCGAGCGUUAUCCGGAUUCAUUGGGUUUAAAGGGUGCGCAGGCGGGCCUUUAAGCCGGCGGUGAAAUCGCGGGGCUCAACCCCGCCGGGCCGUCGGAACUGGGGGCCUUGAGUGCGGCGGAGGCAUGCGGAAUGCGCGGUGUAGCGGUGAAAUGCAUAGAUAUAAGGAAGAACACCAGUGGCGAAGGCGGAUGACUGGACUGUAACUGACGUUGAGGCUCGAAGGCGUGGGGAGCAAACAGGAUUAGAUACCCUAGUAGUC
rnacentral:rRNA from 1 species